UACGUAGGGGGCAAGCGUUGUCCGGAUUUAUUGGGCGUAAAGCGCGUGUAGGCGGCCAGAUAGGUCUGCUGUGAAAACUCGAGGCUCAACCUCGAGACGUCGGCGGAAACCAUCUGGCUGGAGUCCGGAAGAGGAGAGUGGAAUUCCUGGUGUAGCGGUGAAAUGCGCAGAUAUCAGGAAGAACACCCGUGGCGAAGGCGGCUCUCUGGGACGGUACUGACGCUGAGACGCGAAAGCGUGGGGAGCGAACAGG
rnacentral:rRNA from 1 species